UCCCAGAAGGCGCAGCCAAAAUGGAGCCAGAGUAGCCAGAAGAGCCUGAGCAGCUGGAGGAGCCAGAGUAGCUACCGCUGCAUCCCAGAAGGAGCGGCCAUAGUGUCUAAGACAAAGCUGCAGCUGGAGCACGGGAGCCCCUGGAGCGCAGGUACCUCUGCGGAGCAGGAGCUAAUGCCGCCGCCGCCAGGAAAAGGGAGCCACCGGAGCACGCAUGCGUUGGAGUGCGGGAGCCGCCCGCCACCUGCUGCCACGGCCGCCAAAGCCUUGAAUUCGCUCCAAUGCAGGAGGCGACUUUUCUGCUGGAGUGCAGGAGUCAAUGACGCUGCCGCCAGAGCACGGGACCCAGCACCACCUGGUUGGUGGCGUCCAGAAUUCAGGAUCCCACAGUGCCGCCAGCAGAGGACCGGAGAUGCUGGAGGGCAGGAGCCAAGGCUGUUGCAGCUGGAAUGCAGGAGCUGCUGCCUCCAGAGCUCAGAGCCGCCCCCAGGGAGCCCAAGCCAAAGAUUCCAAGCUGGGAGCCCCUGGGGAAAGGUGCAGGCACCGUGGGUCGGAGGACUGCAGCUUCUGGGGAGGUCCUCUUGGGCGAAGGGAGUCGCCACAUUGGAGGAGGUCUGACCCAGGGUGGGCGUCUUUCUGUGCUGGAAGUGUGACUGUGAGUCCCGGGGUUGCGGGCUGGAGGUGGUAGCAGCGCCUCUGUAAAGACAGAUGAUGCACAGAGGUGUGGCUUCCAGCAGGAAGGACAGUGGCUAGCUGAAUAUGACCAAGAGAUGGUGGAGCGCAUGACCUCAGCAUUUUUGACAAGGCACAGAGUACCUGUGUGAAGGCCACCUGGAGCUCACCUGCCAGGAACCAUUGAUGUUCAAGGAUGUGGCAAUUGCUUUCUCUGAUGAGGAGUGGAAAUGCCUGGACCCUGUUCAGCAGACUUUAUAUGGAGUUGUGAUUUUUAGAGAUCUAUAAAAACCUGGUCUUUGUGGGAAGACAGCUUAGGUCCCCCAAGUGCCUCUCUUUAAAAUGCAAAGCCAUCCACUGUGACAAAAAUAUCAAUCAGUAAGCUGCUUCUGUAGAUAAAGCCAAGUCUGCAACAGAGAUGUUACCUGCUCCCCAACACCCGGUGAACUCAGGAUGAGCUAAGGACAACAGAUGGCACCCUUGUACCCUCUCACUUGGGGACCAGGUAUGUAGUCCACAUAUGCAGAACACUGAGUCUCCCCCGCUAUGCAGAGAUCUGUCUUUGCAGCGCCUCCAGGGGUUGCCUGCGUGGCACAUCCCCAAUGGCUGAGCACAUA